GGGGAGCAUUCAAAGUCAUUUAUGUUGCCUGAUAUACCCUUCCUACAACAAUAUAAUCUCAACUUUCCUUUUUGUUGAACUCAAGCCAUGUUCACAAGCCUCUUAACUAUGAGUUACAUA